UGGCACAGACAUUGAUGAGUGUGAGUCUGGUGCGCACCAGUGCUCCGAGGCCCAAACCUGUGUCAACUUCCAUGGGGGCUACCGCUGCGUGGACACCAACCGCUGCGUGGAGCCCUACAUCCAGGUCUCUGAGAACCGCUGUCUCUGCCCGGCCUCCAACCCUCUAUGUCGAGAGCAGCCUUCAUCCAUUGUGCACCGCUACAUGACCAUCACCUCGGAGCGGAGCGUGCCCGCUGACGUGUUCCAGAUCCAGGCGACCUCCGUCUACCCCGGUGCCUACAAUGCCUUUCAGAUCCGUGCUGGAAACUCGCAGGGGGACUUUUACAUUAGGGUAAGGUUUCUGCAACCCUCAACUGACAUGCACAAUCUAAAACUGAACUCCAGGACGCCUUAAGGGGGAACUCGGCCAGGCUGCUAUGCCCCACCCCUCCCCCAAAGCCCCGCCCCCGGAGGCGGGGUUUCUGCAGGAAGACGGGGGUACUCUAAACUACCGUGGUGCAAAGGACAGACGGUUAAAUGCAAUUCUAACGGUUAAAUGCAAUUCUAACG
rnacentral:sRNA from 1 species